rnacentral:rRNA from 1 species
GGAUGAACGCUAGCGGCAGGCCUAAUACAUGCAAGUCGAGGGGUAGAGGKNGCUUGCANUNUUGAGACCGGCGCACGGGUGCGUAACGCGUAUGCAACCUACCUUUAUCUGGGGGAUAGCCCGGAGAAAUCCGGAUUAAUACCGCAUAAAAUCACAGUAUUGCAUAAUACAAUGAUCAAACAUUUAUGGGAUGAAGAUGGGCAUGCGUGUCAUUAGCUAGUUGGCGGGGUAACGGCCCACCAAGGCGACGAUGACUAGGGGAUCUGAGAGGAUGACCCCCCACACUGGUACUGAGACACGGACCAGACUCCUACGGGAGGCAGCAGUAAGGAAUAUUGGUCAAUGGAGGCAACUCUGAACCAGCCAUGCCGCGUGCAGGAAGACUGCCCUAUGGGUUGUAAACUGCUUUUAUCCGGGAAUAAACCUAUUUACGAGU